rfam:Pseudomonas sp. 21C1 contig00022, whole genome shotgun sequence.
GUACCGGUCACCGCAAGGUUUUCUGCUGUUGCAGCAGAUCAGACUUUCGCGUUGCGCCUCUGGUGCAGCGCACCCGGCAUCGCCGGAUUUUGCUAACCCGCUGGUGAAUGCACCAGC